rnacentral:rRNA from 1 species
GAGUAACGCGUAGGAAUCUACCCAAUAGCGGGGGAUAGCCCGGGGAAACUCGGAUUAAUACCGCAUAAUCUCUACGGAGUAAAGGGGGCCUCUAUUUAUAAGCUUUCACUAUUUGAUGAGCCUGCGUAAGAUUAGCUUGUUGGUGAGGUAAAAGCUCACCAAGGCGACGAUCUUUAGCUGGUCUGAGAGGACGAUCAGCCACACUGGAACUGAGACACGGUCCAGACUCC